rnacentral:snoRNA from 1 species
CCCCUCUCAGGAUGGCACCUGGAGAGUUUCCAGGACUCUCCCGGUCUCGGCUACAGGAGGGAGAGUCAAGGAGAGGCCUACCCAUUCCAUUCCUGGCUUGGCCAGUGGCUAGCGAGGGGAAGGCCUUCUGCUCCAAGU